rnacentral:lncRNA from 1 species
AUACGAAACAUGUGGUUUUCCCUUUAAUUUGUCCACAUGUUAGUUUUCUGUAUGAGACAUUUUGUGGAGUAAAUGCGAUGCAUAUAUUUCUCCUAUUACAUGUCAUUAGGCUUUGAGCAUGUGUUAGGUAAGUCCGUAAGUGUAACGAAGGGGAUGUGUUCUGUUCCUUUCUACAGUAUGAUUUACUACUUGUGCAAAAUGCGUUAGAUCUUUUUACGUUUUCCUCGUUUUAAAAUUUUGUACGAUGAAUUAGCAAAGGAAAUCAUUUUGUGGAACUUUUUCAGAUCGUUAGCAACUUAGCAUUGCCAAUAUAUUGUCCACACAUUUUUUUUCAUCUAUGAUAUUUCAUUUAGCCAAAAAAAUGUUACAAGAGAUUACACAACAAACCCCAACAUUACAUACUCACAUC